UACGUAGGGUGCGAGCGUUGUCCGGAAUUAUUGGGCGUAAAGAGCUCGUAGGCGGUUCGGCAAGUCGGGUGUGAAAUUUCGAGGCUCAACCUCGAAACGCCACUCGAUACUGCUGUGACUGGAGUCCGGUAGAGGAGUGCGGAAUUCCUGGUGUAGCGGUGAAAUGCGCAGACAUCAGGAGGAACACCAACGGCGAAGGCAGCACUCUGGGCCGGUACUGACGCUGAGGAGCGAAAGCGUGGGGAGCAAACAGG
rnacentral:rRNA from 1 species